CGCACUUAUAAUCACAUUAACCAUGAACCCGUACAAUAAGUUUCAAGAUAUGGUUUUAAAGCAAUGGUUGGUCAUGGAUGAUGCACUUUUCCAAGCAUGUGGGUUUUGUCUAGUUGCGGCAUCUGAUGACCAGUCGGUGUUUAUCACUUGGGACAAGUAUUAUUUGCUAAACAUACGCUUUAAGAUGCCAGAGGACAGCUGCAGGAUAAAAAUGACUGCUGUGCGAAUUCCUGUGCCUAAAAGUGGAGGAGGCUAUAUUAGGAGUGUGCAUGCUUUGAGGUACCGGUAGAAAGUUGUGGAAAUACAUUCCGAGCAAUUUUCAGUGGAAGAAUAGUACCUGCGAAAUACAGGUUGAACAAUAAGCAAUUUAUGGAAAGGAAACCAAGUAUACCAAAAAUCAGGCAGGUCAGCAGUCUUGGAAGUCAAUUCACUUUUCCCAAUAUAGCGGAUCUAUUUUGCAAUGCCGUCUCCAUUCACAAUGACUAUUGUAAAUUGCAUUUUAUAAACGAAAAGUUGCAAUUCCAUUUAAAUGGAAUGUUGGAAAGUAAAGAUGCUUCAGCGAUUUACUAUUUUAAGCAACAUAUUAUUCUAAACUCGGAUCAACUGGAAUCUGCAUCCAAAAAUUAUGACAUGACCUUUCAUACAAUAAUGAGCGACGUUGACCGAUUUCGGUACCGACAAUGUAACGACAUCUUGGCCCCUGGAACAAAUUUUUCCGUUUUAAAGUCAAAAUAUAAUAUCAUUAGAAAUGACAUUCAUUAAGAAUUUUGCGUACAUCGAAACUAUUCAAUAACCUUUUACGCUCACUUUUCUUAUUUAUACCCUAUAGUUAGAUAAACUAAAUCUAAAUCUAAUAAACUAAAUCUAAUCUAAUCGUUCCAAGGCUUGUACGUAUGAUAUUUUAGACACCAGACCCAUAUCCAAAAGUUGUCAUUGUGUAAUCCUCUUCUCUGCAUUAUUAAGAAAAUUAUUGAAUUGUGUCUAUCACAAGCGCAAAGAUCAUCCCAUCAGAACUAUGCUAUGUGAUUUUUGAAGUAAUAGCGCAAACAUUGUUGUUGUCUGGACUUUAGAUGAUAAAUCAAUCGCUCAGCUACAAGAUAAACAUUUUGUACAAGAAAAAUAUAAUGAGUAUAUAUGCUUAGUUAUAAAACAAAUAAAAUAUUCUUAAGAUGUU
rnacentral:lncRNA from 1 species